GUGUCAGCCGCCGCGGUAAUACGUAGGGUGCGAGCGUUGUCCGGAUUUAUUGGGCGUAAAGAGCUUGUAGGCGGUUGGUUGCGUCGAAAGUGCAAACUCAGGGCUUAACUCUGAGCCUGCUUUCGAUACGGGCUGACUGGAGGAAGGUAGGGGAGAAUGGAAUUCCCGGUGGAGCGGUGGAAUGCGCAGAUAUCGGGAGGAACACCAGUGGCGAAGGCGGUUCUCUGGACCUUUCCUGACGCUGAGAAGCGAAAGCGUGGGGAGCAAACAGGCUUAGAUACCCUGGUAGUCCACGCUGUAAACGGUGGGUACUAGGUGUGGGGGACAUUCCACGUUCUCUGUGCCGUAGCUAACGCAUUAAGUACCCCGCCUGGGGAGUACGGCCGCAAGGCUAAAACUCAAAUGAAUUGACGG
rnacentral:rRNA from 1 species